UUCGCAAUGCCCGAAAGGGUGACGAUGCGACGCCGCGUGAGCGAAGAAGGCCCUAGGGUUGUAAAGCUCUGUCGAGGGUUAUGAAAUAUAGAUGGGUUAAUACCCCAUUUAUUUGACAAAAGCCCAAAAGGGAGCCACGGCUAACUCUGUGCCAGCAGCCGCGGUAAUACAGAGGUGGCGAGCGUUGUUCGGUAUUAUUGGGCGUAAAGAGCACGUAGGUGGUUUUGUAAGUCAGGUGUGAAGGCCUUCUGUUCAAAGGAAGAGCGGCGUCUGUAACUGCAGAUCUUGAGUGUAGGAGGGGAGAGUGGAACUUCUGGUGGAGCGGUGAAAUGCGUAGAUAUCAGAAGGAACGUCGGCGGCGAAAGCGACUCUCUGGCCUAUUACUGACACUGAGGUGCGAAAGUUAGGGGAGCAAACGGGAUUAGAUACCCCGGUAGUCCUAACCGUAAACGAUGGGCACUAAGUAGAGGGGUUUU
rnacentral:rRNA from 1 species